AACGAACGUUAGCGGUGUGGAUUAGGCAUGCAAGUCGAGCGCGAAAGCCCGCAAGGGUGAGUAAAGCGGCGAAAGGGUGAGUAAUACGUAACCAACUUACCCCUGAGACCGGAAUAACCGACGGAAACGUUGGCUAAUGCCGGAUGGUCCCUCCGGGAGGCAUCUCCUGGUUGGUAAACGGUGGCGCAAGCUGCUGCUCG
rnacentral:rRNA from 1 species